GGCCAGUUUGCUCAGUUGGUUAGAGUGUUGUGCUAAUGGCGCCAAGGUUGCGGGUUCGAUCCCCGUAUGGGCCA